GAUGAUUUAUGCAUUGUAGCACCAAACAAAGGUUUCAGUCACUUUUCUGUCUGUAAAUUGUCCAUCACUGUGUAUGGGGCCAUAGUCUUGUGUCCUUUAUUCAUCUCCGUAAACAGUCAUCAUAUUAACCUGUUGACUGGUGUUUAUCAGACAGGAGCCUGUGGUUUCCUACUCUGAAUGCUGUUCGAGCCAUGUCGACUUCAGGAGGCCCCACUCCACCCUUCACCACCCUGUCAGUCACCCACCCAGCCAAUCACAUCACUCCUGUAGAGCUGCACUGACCAGAGAAACGCAACGCCAUGAACUAGGCCUACUGGAGGUAUGUUUUUUCAUCAAAUAAAGGACAUAACUACUGGGUUUUCCAAAAGUCUCCAUACAUAAGGGACCAUGUCUGCCAGUACCAGGUUGGUUGUGCCUUCGUCAGUGGACGUGCACUUCUCGGUUGGCCUGCAACACUUGCAGUCUUUUUGAAUUUGUUAAUAAGUUUGGAAACUGUGUUAUAUAUUUGCUGUGUUCGCCAUGUUUCCUGUUAGUCCAUCACAACCUUGCCACAGCUUCCUGAUCCAGGCAUGAGAAUGAUUUCAGUACAUUCUUCUCUUGUCAAAAGCGUUCUUAAAGGCUAUCUGGGGGGAAAAAAUUAAAGUAUGAAAAAAAACAAAACUUUUUUUGGAAGACAUUUAGUGAAAUGAUCGAAUGCUUUCUUCAGCUUUGAGUAUUGCUGAAGACUCAAAGUGCCGUGUGGUGGUGUUCUCGGGUGCAGGGAAAAUCUUCACUGCAGUUUAUUUUGGAUACAGGCAGAGGAAGCUCAGCGAAAGCUUAAGAGACAGAAUGGAGAGGACCCAGCCCUGCCUCCAUUCUGCCCACUGUUUGCCAGCUUGGGAAACAUUCUGCAGUGUGACGUGCCGCUUGGCAUGUUGGGAGCUGUGCUGCAGUGGGCUAUGGAGCCCAGUGGAGGACACUGGUCUGAGUCCAUGCUGCAGAGGGUAAAUGUUUGGAUGUUUUGUUAAAAUGACAUGAUAGUGUAGUAAAUUCAACAAAAUUCCACUUGCUAUGCUGUGUUCAUGAGCAUCACUUUUUAAUGACUGAGUAGUGUUCACAAUUCUGUAUGUGUGUGUUGCUACAGGUGCUGCACUUGUUAGGCAUGGCUCUGCUGGAGGAGCAGCAACAGCUAGAGAACAUUGGGGAUGACGAUGAAGUUACUUUCAACUUCACCCUGAAAAUCUCCCAUGGUGGUUAGCAUUAAAACGAUGCGCGAGUGCACAGCUGCUGCACCUCCCUGUGAAGGAACAGGGCACUGUCACAAGGAGACUGUGUGGGACAAAGACAAAGCAUAGAGAAAAAGGAAAGCUGAACUGUGCUGGAAAAAGACCAUGGCUCAAACAUUAUAGAGCCAGAGUCAUUUUAUCAAUAAGUACAUAGAUCUGCUCACGCAGGAUUCAGAGCAUCUGGACGCCUCAGCCUCUACAUCAGCAGAGCAUAGGUACCUAAGCAUGCUCGUAGUGACGCAGUGUUCUUAAUAAUUCAACUUGUAUUGUAUUCUCAAUAUCCAGUCAGUACAUUUAUGUCAGUAAAUGCAUGCAUCAACACUUCAUUGACUUUGCUGAGCAGUUGUCUGUUCUUUGUCCUAA